GCGCCUGUAGCUCAGGGGAUAGAGCAGUGGAUUUCUAAUCCAUUGGCCGCAGGUUCGAAUCCUGCCAGGCGCG
rnacentral:tRNA from 1 species